ACCCCUCACGAUCUGGGCCAAGGGAAAAACCUAGGUGCGCCGCCACCGUGGUCGCCGCCGGAGAGAUAUAGAGAGAACCGAUUUGCCUGAGAAGUGACUCAGUUCCCAUGCUUGUCCCCUUCACUUCCUCUAUCUCUCACUCACAUACGAUGUCGACAAGGACGAGACGGAGAUAUUGGGUGCGAGGGGAGCUCCAGAAAACGAUGGAGGUGUGCCCGUCCCGUCCCGUGGUCGACAGGGCAUGGCACUCCUGUCACGCGAAAAGGGAUUCAAAUUUGGAGUCCGGCUAUGGUGAGGGCCGUAGUGCAUGAGGGAGAAGUUGGGGCUAUGGAUUCACGAGAAACUCACCCAAACGCCUUCUUCAGUAGCUGCCUGGGCGGUCGGCACCGGCUCGACCUGCAACGAACUCCGGGUGCUCCUCGACGUCAUGGGCGCACCCCUUUUGCGCUUGCGCAUGUACAUGUCGCUGAGCCGCCCCUGCAUCUCAGCAUCAAGGACACUCAAAUGUCUCCAAUCACUGGUUGCAAAAAUGGUUCCUCCUUACAGGAUUAAGGAGCUCAUGGCGGAGGACCCCAGUGAGGCUACAUCGUGGCUAUGGCUUCCAUCUCGGAGAUUGGAGUACUUUAGCAGGGACUGAAAUUGAUAUUGUAAUUCUUCAAAUUAUGUAUAUAACUGUAGCUGCCUGGGCGGUCGGCGCCGGCUCGACCUGCAACGAACUCCGGGUGCUCCUCGACGUCAUGGGCGCACCCCUUUUGCGCUUGUGCAUGUACAUGUCGCUGAGCCGCCCCUGCAUCUCAACAUCAAGGACACUCAAAUGUCUCCAAUCACUGGUUGCAAAAAUGGUUCCUCCUUACAGGAUUAAGGAGCUCAUGGCGGAGGACCACAGUGAGGCUACAUCGUGGCUAUGGCUUCCAUCUCGGAGAUUGGAGUACUUUAGCAGGGACUGAAAUUGAUAUUGUAAUUCUUCAAAUUAUGUAUAUAACUGGUAAGAAGGAAAUCAAAUCGCCAAAGGAUCAUAUUAUUUACGGUUAUGUCAUGGCCAGUUCGUUAUCAAGCAAAUCCAAAUGAUUUUACUCCCUGCAGUGUUGGAUAUAUAGCAAUGACUGCAUGGGUUUUCUGCUGGUACUACAAAGCUUUCAUGAAGGUCAAUGCUCAUGGAGGGAUGGUGAGAGAGGAAUUCGGUGGGGGGCAUUGGUCUCUGGGAUAAUGGGGGAUAAAGAGAGUAAUGUGGCUGUUCUUCUUAAGUUGCUUACAAGUUUGUAGAAGCAGUAAUUAUGGUGUUUCCCAAUCUGAUGUGUAUUUGGCUUGAUGAGUAUGAGGCUAGGAGUUUGGACCAACUGCUAACAUUACGGAGCUUCCUGCCAUGUUUAUGGUGUUGAAUCUAUUGAAUUUUAGACUGUGAUUGCUGAGUACGAAAAGGAAUUAAAAUUUGAUUUCAGCUGUAAUAACGUGUGGUCCUUUCUUUCUUGCAUCUUUAAUGAUGUAGUUUGGUUUUGUGGUGACAUCUACAAUAUAAGCAGUUUAGCACUGAUAGCAGGGACACUUCAUGGGA